CACAUCUCCUAAAUAUAAUUCUCCCCCAAAUCUUUCAAAGGCCAUUCAUCUUCACCACAAAGAACCACCGUCUUCACUUGUGACCGUCUGCCACUGCUAGAAACGAACCGCCAUUGACGACUCUUCUUGAAUCUGGGCUUGUGUCGAACCGUCUUCAAUGAGCAUGUGUCGAAUCUGCGUGAAUCUGGUCUUUUUUCGAAUCCGUGCAUUCACCUGUGAUCCUCUGCCCCUUUCAUCAUCACCACAACGAGCCUGUGUCUAAUCCAAUGAAUCAACGGGUUUGGAAGAAUUGGUCGAUUGGUGGCUAGGGUCGCCUUGCAGAGAGUUGAUGUUGAGCUUGUUGCAGUUAACGACCCUUUUGUCUCUGUGGUGUACACGGAUUUGAACAAGCGCCAUCACCCAUUAGACUUAAAUACUUUAAACUUAUUGACUUCUCUCCUGGUGAGAAAUAUUUGGUUACUUGCAGUAGUCAUGAACCAAGCAACCCUCGCGACACUCAUAGAGUAGUGCUUAACAUAUUUGAUGUGAGAACUGGAAAAAUAAUGAAAGGUUUCAAUGAAAGGGCAGAUGAGUUUGUGUUUGGAGAAACUGG